rnacentral:pre_miRNA from 1 species
CAAGUACUCCCUCCGUCCGGAAUUACUUGUCAUCAAAAUGGAUGUGUCUAGAACUAAAAUACAUCUAGAUACAUCCAUUUCAAUGACAAGUAUUUUUGGACGGAGGGGGUACAAG